rnacentral:rRNA from 1 species
AUAAAUAAACUAUCGGUAUAUCUGCCCAGUGAAUCUUCAACGGCCGCAGUAUUCUAACUGUGCUAAGGUAGCAAAAUAAUUAGUUUCUUAAUUGGAGGCUCGUAUGAAAGAAUCGACGAGGGACUCACUGUCUCGAUAAUUCUAAUAACUUACUAUAAAGGUAAAAGAGCCUUAAUAUUCUAAUGGGACGACAAGACCCUAUAAAACUUUACUUCUCCUCUUAAACUAAUUUAACCUCUAUAAGAUUCGAGUUAUGCUGGGGCGGCAAUUCUUAACUUAAACAUCUAACAUCUUAACACCCUUUGUGAACUUAUAAAACCCUUCUAAGUAAUAAAGAACAAGUUACUUUAGGGAUAACAGCGUAAUAUUUCUAUAGAGCCCUUAUCGACAGAAAUGCUUUCGACCUGGCAUGUUGAAUUGAAGAAUCCUUACAGAGCAG